rnacentral:rRNA from 1 species
AUUGAACGCUGGCGGCAUGCUUUACACAUGCAAGUCGAACGGCAGCGCGGGCUUCGGCCUGGCGGCGAGUGGCGAACGGGUGAGUAAUGCAUCGGAACGUGCCCAGUAGUGGGGGAUAGCCCGGCGAAAGCCGGAUUAAUACCGCAUACGACCUGAGGGUGAAAGCGGGGGACCGAAAGGCCUCGCGCUAUUGGAGCGGGCGAUGUCGGAUUAGCUAGUUGGUGGGGUAAAGGCUUACCAAGGCGACGAUCCGUAGCUGGUCUGAGAGGACGACCAGCCACACUGGGACUGAGACACGGCCCAGACUCCUACGGGAGGCAGCAGUGGGGAAUUUUGGACAAUGGGGGCAACCCUGAUCCAGCCAUGCCGCGUGCGGGAAGAAGGCCUUCGGGUUGUAAACCGCUUUUGUUCGGGAAGAAAUCCUCUGGGCUAAUACCCCGGGGGGAUGACGGUACCGGAAGAAUAAGCACCGGCUAACUACGUG